CUUUUGGAGAGUUUGAUCCUGGCUCAGGACGAACGCUGGCGGCGUGCCUAAUACAUGCAAGUCGAGCGGACCGAAUGAGAGCUUGCUCUUAUUUGGUCAGCGGCGGACGGGUGAGUAACACGUGGGCAACCUGCCCGCAAGACCGGGAUAACUCCGGGAAACCGGAGCUAAUACCGGAUAACACCGAAGACCGCAUGGUCUUUGGUUGAAAGGCGGCCUUU
rnacentral:rRNA from 1 species